GCUUAAAUAAUUUAAGUUAAAAUUUCAGUUUGUGGUUCUGAACAUGUAAAGUUUACUUUAGGCU
rnacentral:tRNA from 2 species